UCCGAGCAGCUCAGCUUGUCAUAAGGAAACCACCGGUCGAAGUCGAAGUUGACUCGUGUCUCUGGCCGACGGGAAGGCGGUCGCGGAAUCCUCGCCCCGCCUUCCUCCCCCGCGGAUCCAUAGCUCGCUUCCGGAACGAGGUCUCUUUCCAACUAGUCUCCGGCGACCCUGAAUGACCCUAAUUGCAUCUAAGCCCUGUUCUUUGGAACCCUAAUCUCGUGCCUCGUGACCUUCUGCUUCCCGUUGUUCAACUCAGAUUCCUGUUCUGGUAUCGAAUCCCUUAUGCUGGUAUCUUCUAGUUUAAGAUUAUUGGUGGCAGGAAGUUGAAUCUAAGUCGCUCAAUUUGUUGCAUGAUUGUCGGACAUUGUCACUGGAUGCUAGCCGCAAAAGAUCCAUUCUUAUAGAGUUGGUAUAAAAGAAAGGUGUCUGCUGGUAGAACUACAACCGGUUUCAGGUGUAUCACAUGGAUCAUUAGUGUCUGCAGUAUCUGUUCUUCCAGUUGAACUUAUCACUACCAAGCCUUAGCUCUGCGCAUGAUCCUUGUUGCUGAUAUAAAGGUCACAAGGAGGCAUUUAAAUUCUUGGCAUCUUAGAUUAGCUGAGGUGAAUAAUUAAGAUGACGUAAGGUCACUGUUUUUUCCUCCAGGGCUUCAUUUUUUGCCAUUUGAUGACAUGUCUAUAGAGUUCGCUGUUUCCUUCUUAUUCCAUUAAUAUUCUGUAUCAAGAAGAGAUAGAGAAUACUAAAUCUUGUAUUUGUUAGUCCUAUGUCAAUCUUUAUUUGUUAGCAAUGAUCAUGGAUGGGAUCAAAUAAAGAACAGCAAUGAUGACA